rnacentral:rRNA from 1 species
GUAGGGUGCGAGCGUUAAUCGGAGUUACUGGGCGUAAAGCGUGCGCAGGCGGUUUUGUAAGCCAGAUGUGAAAUCCCCGGGCUUAACCUGGGAAUGGCAUUUGGGACUGCAAGGCUCGAGUGCGGCAGAGGAGACUGGAAUUCCUGGUGUAGCAGUGAAAUGCGUAGAUAUCAGGAGGAAUACCGAUGGCGAAGGCAGGUCUCUGGGCUGACACUGACGCUCAUGCACGAAAGCGUGGGGAGCAAACAGGAUUAGAUACCCCGGUAGUCCACGCCCUAAACGAUGUCGACUGGUUGUUGGGGGUUUGACACUCUCAGUAACGAAGCUAACGCGUGAAGUCGACCGCCUGGGGAGUACGGCCGCAAGGUUA